rnacentral:snRNA from 1 species
GUACUCACUUCAGCAGCACAUAUACUAAAAUGGAAACAAUACAGAUAUUAGCAUGGCCCUUAUGCAAGGAUGACAUGCAAAUUUAUAAAGUGUUCCAUAUUUUU